UAUAUAUUAACCUCUGCAUGAAUGAGUAAUUUUAGCGAAGAGGGUGAAAAAGGGAGAGGAUGGUGAUGUGUUGAAAGAUUCUCAGCCCCAUUAAGUUGUGUUGUACGUUUCGGAUACAACAAGGUUUCGGUUGUCGGGACUAUUUUCUUUGCGAGUGAUCGGUGUAAGGAAGUUAUGUUUUAUAUAUGACGGUGAAGCUGUCGAGUGGACGCCGGCCACCAUCAUCACUGCCACAUAUACAACCAAGAAAGUGUUUCCUAUAUUUAACCCUCCCCAACCCUCUCUCGGUUUCCUUCCCCACCCUGUCAUCCAAAAAAGAGAAAAGGGUUGUGAUGCGGUUUUUAUUCUUCUCCGCGGUGACUUCUUAUCAGUACAACUGCACAUGAACUGUGGUGACGUGUAAAAGCAGACCGCUAGUAACGUGUAACGCAUCGGGCCUGUUAAAGCGGGAGACAUUUGCAGACUUCAAAACGGAGAAGUUUCCGACUCGUUGUACAUCGCACAGAGUAAUGCGAGAAUGGGGCACGAAAUUAAGCGAGAUGUGUGUAAGGGAGAACGGAAUUUGAUAAUGCAAGAUCGCUACGUCAUCGUCGGUAGUAGUGCCUGGCUACACAUCUGCACUACAAACGAAGAGAUCGUCCCAUCGGACAAGAAUCCUACGUAGCGUCUUCUUCGUCUUAGAUAAAUUCAGUCCCAGUUACAAAGCGAGUAUCCAAAAUGCCAUAGACAAACUAGAAAUAUUUUGAUUUUUGUUUUAAUAUCUCCCGUGUGUGUCUGAUAUUUUAUUUUUAUUUAUGUGUGAGUGUGCGGUUAUUGUUUCUGAAAAGACGUGUGUGUAUAGAAUAGUUGAAGUGAUAUCCAUCAAUGUAGUAAUUAAUAAACAGACAUUUCGCGUACAAGGCUAGACCAAAAACGACCUGAACGAGCGAGAAAGAGCUACGCCGAAGGAGCGCGAGAAAGAAGGAAGGAAAUAGAAAGAGAGAGGGUAUUAAAAAAAAAGAGUCUCGGAUAGAAACAAAAUGGUGGCCGUCGGGUGGCUCUGUAUAACAGAUUCGCAUCGCAGCAAUGGUGGAGUCAUUACACCACGAAAGUGUCCAAUUCUUCUUCCUGCCCUGUGCUGUCGGAAGCAACAAGCAUUCUCAGGAUAGAACAAUAGCCUCGGUGCAGCGGGGCAUCAUCAUUCAACUCACCAUCACUCUCAUAUUCAGAAUUAAUAGUGUCAUCUCCUGCUGUCACUUGACGAUGGCGGAUUUGCCGGAUAUGUCGCACCUCACAGCCGAGGAAAGACGCAUAAUCGAGUCUGUCAUGAUGAGGCAAAAGCAAGAAGAGGAGCGUGAACACGAAAUCAUGAGGAGGAAGCAGGAUGAAGUCCAGGUACUGGAGGACACGAUACGGCAGAGAAGUGAACAGCAGAAGAAAGCGGGCGUGGAGCUGGACGCCACAUGUCACAUCUGCCUCAAGACAAAGUUCGCGGAUGGAGUUGGGCACAUUUGCAACUACUGCAACAUCCGCUGCUGCGCUCGAUGCGGCGGGAAGGUCACCCUUCGCUCAAACAAGGUAAUCUGGGUGUGUAUUCUCUGCCGAAAGAAACAGGAACUCUUAAGUAAAACGGGUCAGUGGAUCAACAAGGGAAUGGGAACAGGCGAUGCCAUCAUGCGCCGGAUAGAGGCAGAUCUUCAUCAACAGCCCGAAGAUAUUACACCGACGCUGACAACGCCAAUAGACAAGCGUCCGAAACUCGAAAGAGCACACAGCGCUGCGGAAAAAGAGAACGUGCCAUUAGCACGAUCAGGAAGUGUCCUAAGGCGUCAGUAUUCGCAACAAGAACAGACGACUACGUCGGGGCGUCGAAUGUCAGCGAGUGACAGUGGUGUGGACGUCAUUUCACCCUCUCAGAGAUAUACAGGUAGGGUCAGGGAACCUUCUGUAGACCGUGGACAAAGUUUUCAACAGUCGUACCACGAAGACGACCCCAGGUAUUAUCGUAAUGAACUGGAGGGUUUGAUGCGAAGUCAACAGCAACAACAACAGUCAUACCAACAUCUUCACGGUACUGGGUUGUACGGAAGUGAAAUAGUUCAUCGAGGUAGUGGUAGUGCUGGUGUAAGUGCUGGUGGUGGUUUUAGAAACGAUUCUUUAAGUUCGGAACAGUCUUCUUCCAUGGAUAUGACGUCAUGUCCGCCUACUGCAGUGAUGCGUGGAAGUAGUGGUGCGCCGAUGAUGAUGAUAUCCGGAGGAAAUAAUAAGAAACACAAGAGAAGCGGUUCUGGUAAGAAGGCGCAUGCGCAUCCGUCUUCCACCGCUUCGCAGCAAUCACAGCAACAAUUGGUGACGUCGAGACAUCUUCAGCAGUCACAGCAACAAUCCUUCUCAAGCUCUGACGAUGAGUUGAGAUCGACACCCGAGUGCACCAGUUGCGAGGAACAUGACAGCGAAAAGGGAAAAAUAGAUACUGCUCAGCCGCGACACCAUGUCUACCAUCGUCACUACCAUUCCUCCAAUAUCAGAGAUCACAGCCACUGUAGCUACUCACACAAUAACCGCGAAGGCACGAGAUAUUCCAACAAUGCUGCCAAUAUUAGACAUCAUAGCAAAAAUCCCUCUUUGGAUAAUGCGAGGACUAGUAGUAAAGAGGUACCACAAGAGAAAUUCCCACGCGAUUUAAACGAGUAUCGGGACCGUUAUUUUGCGUUUCGUAAUCGGAUCGUGAAAGAGGGUUCGGAAUUAUGGGAACGGGAAGAGAACAGUGCCAGUGAUAGCCGUCGGUUCACGGAGCGGAGAAAGAAGACUGUGCGUUUUGAUCGUCCUGGGCCGGUGGAUCACUGCCAUCGCCAUCGGCAGCAACACCCUCAAGACUGGAGCCACACGCUGGGUAGAUGGGCCUCCGACCGCCAGAGUUCUCAGGACUCGCAGACCAAGGACUCAGGGAUCGACACCAGUAGUACAUUCACUUCCAGCGAGGAUUCUAAUCGUGGAGAAGGGCCAAAGGACUUGCAUGAACUGGGCCGUCCUCUGUUCUGCAAGCACCCAUUGUCAUGGCAAAUUAGUGCAGAUGGGACACGUAUGAUUGGACACAUGAUCCUCAAGAAGACAGUACGAGAAGGAGUAGGACCUACAUCAUCAGCAGCUAUACUAGGACUUAAGGUUGUUGGAGGCAAGCUUCUUGAGAACGGUGGUCGUGGUGCUCUUAUUGAAAAGGUGAAGAAGGGCAGCACAGCUGAUGUGGAAGGCCAGCUCAGGCCAGGUGAUGAAGUAAUUGAAUGGAAUGGGCGCUCUCUUCAGGGAAAGAGUUUCCAGGAGGUAUACGAUAUCAUAGCAGAAUCAAAACAGGAACCACAGGUGGAAUUGAUUGUAACACGGAUUCUGGGCAGCCGUCAGACACCACAGACCCAAUGGGGACGUUCUUACACAACUCCUACACACAUGCAUAAAGAUGUGUAUGAGAGUAGUCAUCGAGACAAACCCAGUGUUCUGGUGACAUCUCCAGGUUCACCAGACCUGCACAUUCCAGCCCGUUCAGCCCGUCCACCUAGGCUGGGAUCUUCACCCACCAUCUCUAAUGUAGGAGGUCGGUUACAGGUGAAGCUGUGGUUUGACUCGGGGGCACUUCAGCUUGUUGUGACAAUUGCCAGUGCAGCUGGGCUCAUGCCUAGGAACAAUGGCCAACCUCGCAACCCAUAUGCCAAGCUCUUCCUGCUGCCUGAUCGGAGUGAGAAGUCCAAGAGGCGGACAAAGACACUAGCCAACACCAAUGACCCCAUGUGGAAUCAAACAUUUAUAUACUCAUCAAUACGUCGAGCAGAUUUGAAGCUUCGGGUACUGGAAGUGACUGUAUGGGACUAUGUUCGUUAUGGAGCCAAUGAUUUCCUUGGAGAGGUUGUAGUGGAGCUGAGUGAAGCACCUCUCAAUGAGGAACCUGUCUGGUACUACCUUAGUGUUCAUGAGGAGAUACCGACACAUCCGUAUUCUCGGCAUGCAGAUGUCGAUCCUACAGUUAUGGAAUUGACUUUGACUCCAACAGAUCAUUUAUCGCCUCCUAGUACCACAUCAAGGUUAUCUGAUUCUGAUACAUCAGAGUGUGAUUUGGAGGAUGGACUGAGCGGUGGUGGGAUUAGAGAACGACGGAUUGCUGAUGGAGCAUCAAUCAGCAGUGUUGGCAGUUCAUCGAGUCCACCACCUGAAAUAGAAAUGCAGGAACAUCGGAGAUCUCGUCGUGACAUGUCACCACAAGGAAGGAAACGGGCAGCUGUUAUGAUGAGUCGUGAUAAGAUGGUCAGUUAUCAGCCUCAGAGAAAGAAUGGAGGUCAAGUUAUGAUGGGACAACGCUCACAUUCUGCAGCACCUACAGAUUCUCCUAGUCUUCAUUCUAGAAGUAGAUCCAAAAGCCCACGUCGUAUGGGGGAGCACCGUAGCCUGUCACCACCGGAGGGCAGGAUGCAUCUUCAUGGUCAAUCUAUUCCUUCUCAUGCCUAUGUUCCACGUUUCUCCCGCUCAGCAACUGCCACUCCCACUGGUUCGCCCAAGAAACGCCAGCUUCCACAGAUACCACAAGCCCUGCAAAAAGCACUUAAAGAGCGCGUUACUCAGGAUCUAGAGGACCGAGCAAGGAUGAUGAAGCAAAGAAUGAAGGUGAUGCAAGGGAUGCGAGGCUCUGGGAUGGGGAGGUGGGAACGCAAUUAUAGUGGUCGGAGUGAUAGUGACCUGCCCUCGCAUAGUACCAUGUCUUCUGCUGAUCACAGAGUGAGGAGGAUUCCUCAUUCACUGUCACCUGACAAAGAUGUGAUGGGUGACUUUGGGGACAGUGAUAUUGAAAGUGUUGUAAGCAUCACGAGUAGUGCCUUCUCCACUCAGUCAGAGCGUCCACGUGGGUCCAGAGGGCUCAGUGACUAUGGCAGUAGCAGUGGAGGUGGAGGGGGACAACGCAUGGAAAUCCACCACAGUGGGGCUCAAGGGGCCAACAGCAGUUCAGGGAGCAAGAGGAAUACCUUCACCCGUAGUCUGUCAAAUGCAGAUGUUCCCUCAGACGAGAAAGCUGAUGGUAGCCUGAGUGACACAGCUGUGGGACACAUUCAUGGGAUGGAAGGGUCACGGCGAAAGAUGGUAGGAAGCAGUGAAAGGAGUGGGAAGCCCACUGGAGGUGGUGGAAAUAGUAGUUGUCAGUUUGUGGGUUUGGGCAAGAAAAGUAAUUCUACAUCUCAGCUCUCAGCCACAGAAGGUGGCACUAGAAACCGUAGCUCCCCUAGCAGCAAGAGUAUUCAGCGGUCGCAGGAAGUGGUUCCACCACUACGAUGCCACAACCACCCCUUCGUUGCGCCCUCCACAAGCCACAACCUACCCUCUAAACACUUCACCACCGGUGAGGUUGGUGCAAGCAGUCUCAACAGCAUUUCUAGUUCAGAGGGAUCCACGUGGUCUCCAUCACUGCGGUUAGCCCAAGAUGGCGGCCAGCUGUCAGAUUUUAUAGAUGGGCUGGGCCCAGGUCAGCUUGUGGGUCGACAGGUUCUAGGUGCACCUGCACUUGGUGAUAUUCAGCUCAGCAUGUGCUACCAGAAAGGUUACCUUGAAGUGGAAGUCAUACGAGCUCGAGGCCUUCAAGCACGGCAAGGCUCUAAAGUAUUGCCAGCACCAUAUGUGAAGGUAUAUCUAGUGAGUGGGAAGAAAUGCAUAGCAAAAGCGAAGACUGCAACAGCAAGAAGAACACUAGAUCCAUUGUACCAACAACAGCUAGCUUUCAGAGAACCAUUCCAAGGCUGCAUAUUGCAGGUGACUGUUUGGGGUGAUUAUGGUCGCAUCGAGGGCAAGAAAGUCUUCAUGGGUGUUGCUCAGAUUAUGUUGGAUGACCUGAACCUCUCCAACAUUGUGAUUGGCUGGUACAAGUUGUUUGGAACGACCUCAUUGGUUAGUGGGCCUCCCUCGCUCGGCCUGUCUCGACGCAGCUCUCUGGCUAGCCUAGACUCCCUCACCAGUCACUAGCCUAGAUCACCACUACUACUCUACUGACACUUCUACUUCUACUGCAGUAACCCACGCCACCUUCCCUCAUCACCACCACUAUCAUCACCACCUACACACCUGCACUCACUAGCAAUUUGCCUGACUGAGAACUUAUCAUCCAUCGCCUGCUCUCGAUGAAGCCGUCAGUUGCUAAUCAUGAGAACGUGAGUCUGGGGAGUGCGAAGCCAACAACAACAGUAGCAACGAUGACAACAACAAUGAAGUUAUCAUUGUCUCAUGAGACAUCUUCCUCAAGCAAGCAUAUCUACUGUAAACCUAGUUGUUGGUCUCCAGUUCUCCCCUUAAUAGCAUGAGAAAGUAGCUCCUUGCUCCUUUGUUUGAAACUUUGCCAUGCAGGCUGCUUUGUUUCAAACUUUGUCAUGCACAAGGAGUUGAAGGGACCAGGCAUUGGUGAUGGUGAGCAGUGACAUUGGGACGACUGUCAUGCCAGUCAGUUUUCUUAGAGAUUUUCACUUCAGCAGUUGCAUAUGUAUACAAUAAAAACAUGAGACUACCAAGUGCUAUGAAAUUGGUGACAGAAGUAAAAUACUUCUUCUUCUUUAAAGUUGAACAAUAUAUCGUGUGUCUGUGCUUCGUGCAUCGGUUAGACUUUGUACAUAUUAUAUAAAGAAAAAAGUCUCACAUUCGAAACAAACAACCAAAUAAAAACAUCUGUUUAAAAUUCACGCCUUCCACAAGUUUCUGUGAAUAUAUAUCACAUAAACAUUAAAUAACAAUUGAAAAAGAAAAACUAUUUGAUUAUUAAAAAUAAAAUUUAAAAAUACCAAUUAUAUCAAUCAAACAGCUGUGAGCGUGAAAGAGAAUGAGAAUAAGUUUGAAUGCUGAGAAAUGUAUAUAGAUACAGAAUGUUCCAACCUGUUAUGUUUGCACUUGGAAAAUUACAAGGAAAACUAAUAACUGAACAUUCCAUGUUAUCCUAACAUAAACAUUAUUCAAGACAGUGGAGGCCAACUGCAUAAUAUAUGGUGCAGGGCAUGUGACAUUUUAAGUUCAGAAUUAACAUUUGGAACUAAUUUCUAUAAAUCAUAUUCAUAUACAAAAUUAUUUAUGUAGAGGAUACAAAAAUACAUUUAAAAUUUUUAAACCUGAUUUGGAAUCAAACAUAUUACUUUCCUAAUGACCAUAAAUGUUUGAGAAAGAAGGUUGAAUAUGUAUUUUAAAAAUACAUGACUUGUGAAUUACAAGAAAUUUGAAUUCUCACAUAUUAUAAAACCAUACACCAAGGAUUGUUCACGAAGUGACUGUUCUGUUUGUAUAAGUUUUUCCUGUAAUUGACAAAUGAGUUCCAGAUGGAAAAUUCAUAUGGCAUUUUGUACUCUUGCUUUCUUUGUUUAAGAGAAACAUUGACAACAUGAAACGGAACUUCAAUGGUCAUUUUUUAAUUGGGUGACAGCAGAAUAACAUACUAAGGCAUUGUUUAAUUUUUAAUUAACAGAAACCUUUUGAUUUUUUAACUGCCAGUAAUAGAAAUAAAUGACAGAAUGGAAGUGUGAGUGCUUGUAAAACUACCAUAACUAGCUAAUUAAUAGGAACUCCCAACUGCCUACCUAACAAACACAACCCUAAAAUAUACUCUGUAGCAGUUAGAAAUUAUAGAAGAUUUUUUUAAUAUGCAUACAUAAAUAUACAAUUGAACCCUCACCCAGCCCCUGAGGUUAAAGUGGAACUGUAUACAAAAAUAUAAUUAUUACUUCAUUGAUAUUCAGGAUAAAAUUUGAUGAAACUGUGUAAACUUCUCUUGAUCUUAACUUGUGGAUAUCCAUUUCAGCGAGAGUAUCAUGUUCAUUGCAUUAAAGACUGGAAUUUGUGACAAAAUUUAUUUUGAUGGAUCACAUGAAAUUAUUAACAUUUCAAAGAAUGGUUUUAUUUUUGGAUGUGAAAUUUGCAAUAAUCUGGAUGCAUUAUAAUUGUAAACUAUACAACGGAUGGAUUGUAUGUUAAUAUAUUAGAUAAUGGAAUUGCUUUCAUUUGUAAAAUGUUACUAAAUUUUAAAAUUAUUUUCUCAUAAAGAAUAUGUCAAUGGACACUAUAAAUUAUAAUUUAGGAUAUCUACAAGUUUUCCUCCUGUGAGUUGAGGUUUUGUCUUUCAUGAAGGUGGUAAAAUGAACCACUCUCAGCAUUAAACAAAAUGAAACUAAACCCAUGAAAAGUUGAAGUGAGAGAGAAUGAGAGAGAGAGAGAGGGAGAGAGUGAUAAACUUCAAACCUAAGACUUCUACCCUCAUAUCUACUGCCUUUCUUUGGUAUUAUCAGCUUUAAGGUAAUUAUAGUUAGAAAAGGAAAAGAAGAAAAGAAAAAAAUAAAAUUGGUGCUUCAGUCUUAUAUUGUAGUCUUAAACUAUUUAGGUAUUAAAACCUGAAACUUGCAAUUUCACUUUCAAAGAAUAAAAUAAUUCAGGCUGGCUGCCUCUGAUGUUACAGGUUCUCUGAGGGUCACAUAUUACUAGUUAGCACAACUGUCUAUAAGAGAGAAACUAGUGCUUCGUGUUAGAAGUUAUAAACACUGUUUUGUAGGUUAUAUUAUUCCUGUCAUUUCUGUUAUCCUCUUACAUAUUUUAAUCAGUGUUAUGAAGUAUCUGAUUAGGAAGCAAUGAAUAUUUUGUUCCCAUACUAAGAGACGUUUCAGAGUAAUAUGUAUAUACAGUAAAUAUUCAGAACCAGCCAGAUUGCUAUAAAAAUACAUGAUUCACAAGGGACCAUUGGAUCAUUAUUGCUUUCCCAUAUUCAUAUUGUUUUGAAACUUGGAACAUUUUGUUGACUUGGAGAUGUCUAUGCUGCAUGAAACCCUAUGAGAUCACUUCUGUGUUUUAUACUAAUGCUGAAAAAAAUUACUCUAAUAUCUAUAUGUGCAUCAUGGAUAUUUUUCUUUAGGAAUACCAUGAAUAUAUAUCUGGAACAUGUAUGAUUUAAUUUGAUAUAUUUUUGUAGAGUGGUUGCGUGCAAUGUCAGGGUAAGAUGCUCCAGGUACCUUUGAAAGUAUGAGUGGUCUAUAAUCUGGAAUCAGGUUGAAUUUCUUCUACAUAAAUGAUCCUGCCAGUGUUAGUAAAAGAAGCGUACUGUAAGGAGGAAUGUAGUUGUUAUGAAUCACUCACACUCAUGAAGGUCAAUACAGUUUGGUGAUGGUUGGA